rnacentral:tRNA from 1 species
GGCGGAGAGCCAACGAUAAGAACGG